AGAACGAACGCUGGCGGCAGGCUUAACACAUGCAAGUCGAACGCGUGUAGCAAUACACGAGUGGCGCACGGGUGAGUAACGCGUGGAUAUCUGCCUUUUGGUUCGGAAUAACCCCGGGAAACUGGGGCUAAUACCGGAUGGUUCCUUCGGGAUAAAGAUUUAUCGCCAAAAGAUGAGUCCGCGUACGAUUAGCUAGUUGGUGAGGUAAUGGCUCACCAAGGCGACGAUCGUUAGCUGGUCUGAGAGGACGAUCAGCCACACUGGGACUGAGACACGGCCCAGACUCCUACGGGAGGCAGCAGUGGGGAAUAUUGGACAAUGGGGGCAACCCUGAUCCAGCCAUGCCGCGUGAGUGAUGAAGGCCUUCGGGUUGUAAAGCUCGUUUUGGCGGGGACGAUGAUGACGGUACCCGCGAGAACGUAACGCCCCGGCUAACGUUCGCGCCAGCAGGCCGC
rnacentral:rRNA from 1 species